GGCGGAAUGGCCGAGUGGUUAAGGCGGAGGAUUUAAGUAUUUUCCUACCUAAAUCUCCUCUUCUCGAGAGAGAGCGUGGGUUCGAACCCCACUUCCGUCA
rnacentral:tRNA from 1 species